rnacentral:rRNA from 2 species
GGACUACACGGGUUUCUAAUCCUGUUUGAUCCCCGCACUUUCGAGCCUCAGUGUCAGUUACAGCUUUGUGAGCUGCCUUCGCAAUCGGUGUUCUAUGACAUCUCUAUGUAUUUCACCACUACAUGUCAUAUUCCGCCCACAGCAACUGUACUCAAGACCAACAAUAUCAAUGGCAAUUUCUGAGUUAAGCCCAGAGAUUUCACCACUGACUUAUCGGUCCACCUACGCUCCCGUUAAACCCAAUGAAUCCGGAUAACGCUUGCAUCCUUCGUCUUACCGCGGCUGC